AAGAGAGACUCCAUCUCAAAAAAAAAAAAAAAAAAGCAACACAUGCUCUGGGCUAAUCAUAUUGCUAAAUUUUUGUCUUAUUUUUCUGCAAGAAUAUAUUUGCUGUGUUAAGCUCUUUUUGAGUGUGUUUGCUGAACUACUUUGUGCUUACUCCCUGAAGCUGCAUUCCAGCCACUGUGAUGCCAGAGAUUAAUCAGGAGAAGCAUCACAUCACUAGCUGGUAAUGAGGAGAAGGGGAAAAAAAUGCCCAUUCAGGCUGGCAUCUCUCUAUUUUUAGGAAUAUACUGGGUCACAGUUUGUCACCAUCACAGGGUUCCCAGGAACGCCUAUGAAACCUUUUAUAGUGUAUCACCUUCUUUGCCCUGAUAAUGUCCAAAAGAAUCUCUAAAUACCUCAAGGGAAUGUCAUCAAAAAAUCCACAAAAACUAGAAUAAUAAAGCUGCUUAUAAAUCAUUUAACCACAAAAAAAAUAAAAGGCAAAUGGCUCAGGGGUGGGAGGUGGAAAAAGAAGAAUAUGAACAAGCUAGGCAGAAAUGAGAGAGAAGUAGAGGGAGUAGUUGAAAUAAAAAGUAAAUUUAAAAUGCAGUAUCACAACUUCAAAGCUGAAAAUCAAUGGAGUGAGGAAGAAAAAAAAUAGGCUCUAGAAGCAAUUACUAAUUUUCUUAGCAUACUGAGACUAAAAUAUAUAAAAUAGGCCUCUUAAACCAAGGCUAAGUAUAUAAAUUUAAGGAAUACCUGGUGACACAAUUUUGUUUUAUAGUAUUUAUCAUAGUUUUCAGUUAACAUAUUGAUUUAAAAAAUUCAUACUUUUGAAAAAUCACAAAGACAGAAAUAAACGGUCAAUAUCUUUUCAGCUAAAAUCAAGGGCUGAUCAAAGAUUACUAGCUUAAUAACUAUAUUAUGUCUUAUUAAAAAAUAACCAGCAUACAUUAGCAGUAAUGCUGUUUGACAGGAGAUGGAGUUAUGAUCUGAGUCAGAAAUUCUGUAUUUUUUACCCCUUGCUGUCUGUUUAUUUAAUGCAGUCAGACUAAUACUCAAAAUGGGAAGGUUUGCCACCUAUAUAACUUAUAUAUUACAAAAUCUUUGUAGCACAUAUGCUUUAAAGUCUGUAAGAUUCUAUGAAAAAUUCAAUUUUUUCUGAAAAAUUCAAUUUAUAUCUGAAACAUAUAACAUCAAAUGAACCUGAAAAUCAGUUCUUUGCACAAUAAUUCACUUUGAGUCAGCUGAACAGUAGGUAAACCACUGUCAAAUUAAGCACUUUAAAGAAUUAGUAAUUCCUCAGUAAAUCCCAUUCAUUCCAAUGGUAAGUUGCUUUUCUUAAAUCUCAAUCUACUUCUCAGCAGGAUACCUAGACUGGUAAACCAUCAGUAAAAUGUCAGCUUCCAUUGAAGGGAAGACAGAGGAGAAAAGGAGCAAAUGGGUAAACAGAAAUCUUUAUUAUUUACAAAAUGGAAAAAUGAAUUACUCUAGUAAUUACUAAUAUGGAAGGGAAGAAGAGGAACAAAAUCCUAAGUAUAAUAUUAACAGGCUAUGUACUCGAUCAUCCAGAGAGACGAUUGUACAUCACAGAAUAGGAAAGGACCUAUUAUCUAAUUCACAUCCCCUCUACCUUCAGACAAAAAUUAAAAAUAAACGUUACCAGAUGUGUUCACCACUUUAAAAUAUUUUUUAAUCCCCUUUAUCAGUAUAUCCCAUUUGUAUUAAAGCAUGCAUGAGCAAAAAGUUGUCCUUUUUGCUUAGAACUCUUACUCCCAUUUUAGCAGGAUUUUUAGAAUGUCCAAAAGACCAUACAGACCAUUAAAUCACUCUCCCACAUUAAAAAAUAAAACAAAAAGCACUACAACUAUUGUCUUUCAACUUUAAACGGUUUUAACUUUCUAUGUGUGGAAUAUUCUGAGUAUCCACUUUUUUUGGAUGUCUUAAUAUCUAUAUCUAAAAGAGAGGCCCCUAAUCAUUAAAGUGCUCUCAACCAAAAUGUUAACACUAAAAAUGUGACUUUAAAGGGAAAAAAAGGCAUUUGGCUCAUGGUUUACCUAUAACUCUCCCGUUAUGCUUUUCCUAACCUAUUAUUCUUUAGGGAAGAAUGAUUUCUUGCUUAUGAAAAAUGCUAAAAUAAACUUAUACUUCUCGAAUCUAGUUAACACUCCAGUCUUUCCAAAUAAUUUCGAAUUGAAUUUCCUAAGUCACCUCACCCUUCAACUUCAACCAACCUCCAAAGUAGUGGGCAUGCGCUGUACAGUCCAUCAGCCAAAUAACAAGAGGCAUUUUUAAAGGACAACACGUUGCUAAAUAAUUUUCUCCUUACAGGACAGUCCAGUGGAAUAACGGCUCAAAAAGCCCACGACUGACAUAUGUGUUAUUAUAAGCACAAAUACAGACUAUUUUUAACCUUAAAGGACGAUCAGAUUAUGUAAUAGUAUUAGUAGUACGGCUGCACAGGGUUUAGUUUUAAUCCUGGCUUUAAAAACCUGGUUGGGUAACAUGGUUCAUUCAGCUCCAUGGCUAGAUUUUGAAUCACUGAAAUCUAGAUUGAUUUUAUACCAGCUAUUAGUAAGUUCAAAACAUCUUGAGGCCUUCUGUUUUUCCCCUGACCUAUAAAAGAUACACCCAUGUCCAUGUUCGUACCUCUUCUGUCAUUAAACCAAAAGAAAAUAAACACCUAGUGACAGUAGACACCCUCAGGGCAUCUCCAUGAAAACACACAAAUAUUAAAGAUCUUUAAAAAUCUUUUAUGCCUAGCACCUCAAGAAGCUGUUAUGUCUGGUGAAAACCUUUGGUGCUUUUAGUAAAACGAACUUGCCGGGAAUUCAUAUAAAGAAAAUAAAAGAAACUUAAAAGAGUAGUUCCAGUUAUUGCAACAUAAACGCAGCUGCAAAAUGAUGUUCACGGGAAUGAGUCCUGCCAUGCAGUAGGACGGGUGUCAACCUCAGACCACUUUCCAGGGGGCGUUUCCUGACGCCCCCUGGCUUAGUGCCCAGGCAGGGGUCGUCCCUGGUUAACACGGGCAGGACAGGAGGGCGGCCCGCCCCUCCCUAGGCCCGAGGACGCGCCCGCAGCAGGGGAGCGGCUUCGGGAGCCAGGAGCUCGGCAAGCUGGGGAUCCUUGGGCGAGGAGUACAAAGGACCCGAGGCGAAGCCGGCGCCGGGAGGCAGAGCUGACCCCCGCGGGACUCUACCGGCCUGCAAGCGUUCGUCACGUGCUCGGUGGCUGCGGGGCCGGCCGUCCCGGCUGGGCGGGCUUCACCGCGUGGGCGCGGCAGUCGCCACUCACCGAGGUUGACGACCUUGAGCGCCGUGAAGAAGCGGUUCUGCCGGGCCAGGUCCUGCCAGGGAGCCUUGGAGCAGUGGUACUUGAUGAAGGGGAAGCAGCCGGCAUGGGUUCUCACUAUGUUGCUUAAGCUGGUCUGGAACUCAAGCCAGUCUCUCACUUCAGCCUCUUGAGUCGUUGGGAUUACAGGAGCCACCAUGUCCAACUGAUUUUGCUGUGUCACCCAGGCUGGAGUGCCAUGGCAUGAUCAUGACUCACUGCAGCCUCUACCUCCCAGGCUCAAGAGAUCCUCCUAGCUCAGCCUCCCAAGUAGCUGGGACUACAGACCCGUACUACUAUGCCCAGCUAAUCUUUUGUAUUUUGUAUUUUUUGUAGAGACAUGGUCUCACUUUGUUUUGCAGGCUGAUCUUGAACUUCUGGGCUCAAGCGAUCCUCCCACCUUGGCCUCCCAAUGUGUUGGGAUUACAGGUGUGAGUUGCGGCGCCCAGCUGAUAUGUAUACUUUUCUAUGUGUAUAUUACACUUCAAUAAAAAGUUUGAAACAGAAAA